rnacentral:rRNA from 1 species
CCUACGGGCGGCUGCAGUGGGGAAUAUUGGACAAUGGGGGCAACCCUGAUCCAGCCAUGCCGCGUGUGUGAAGAAGGCCCUCGGGUUGUAAAGCACUUUCAGUGAGGAAGAACGCCUGGUGGUUAAUACCCAUCAGGAAAGACAUCACUCACAGAAGAAGCACCGGCUAACUCCGUGCCAGCAGCCGCGGUAAUACGGAGGGUGCGAGCGUUAAUCGGAAUUACUGGGCGUAAAGCGCGCGUAGGUGGCUUGAUAAGCCGGUUGUGAAAGCCCCGGGCUCAACCUGGGAACGGCAUCCGGAACUGUCAAGCUAGAGUGCAGGAGAGGAAGGUAGAAUUCCCGGUGUAGCGGUGAAAUGCGUAGAGAUCGGGAGGAAUACCAGUGGCGAAGGCGGCUUUCUGGACUGACACUGACGCUGAGGCGCGAAAGCGUGGGUAGCAAACAGGAUUAGAUACCCCAGUAGUC